rnacentral:rRNA from 1 species
GGGUGGAUAAGUCGGACGUGUAAUCCAAUGGCUCAACCAUUGGACUGCGUCCGAUACUGUCUGCCUUGAGGACGGGAGAGGAGAACGGAACUCCCGGUGUAGCGGUGAAAUGCGUAAAUAUCGGGGGGAACACCAGUGGCGAAGGCGGUUCUCUGGCCCGUUCCUGACGCUCAUAUCCGAAAGCCAGGGUAUCGAAGGGGAUUAGAUACCCCCGUAGUCCUGGCCGUAAACGAUCCCCACUAGGUGUCAGGGGUUUUGACCCUUGGUGCCGCAGGGAAACCAUUAAGUGGGGCGCCUGGGGAGUACGCCCGCAAGGGUGAAACUCAAAGGAAUUGACGGGGGCCCGCACAAGCGGUGGAGCGUGUGGUUCAAUUCGAUGCUAAGCGAAGAACCUCACCUGGGUUUGACAUGCUGGUUGUACCCCGACUGAAAGGUUGGGGGACCCGGCUUGCCGGGAGCCAGCACAGGUGGUGCACGGCUGUCGUCAGCUCGUGCCGUGAGGUGUUGGGUUAAGUCCCGCAACGAGCGCAACCCCUACCCUUAGUUGCUACCAGCAACCAUGUGUUGGCUGGGCACUCUAAGGGGACUGCCGGCGAUGAGUCGGAGGAAGGUGGGGAUGACGUCAAGUCAGUGUGUCCUUUAUGCCCAGGGCUACACACGCGCUACAAUGGGGACUACAGAGGGUAGCAACCCUACGAGGGGAAGC